UCUAGCUCACACCAGACUGCGCUGGGAGCAAGCGUUUUUCCUUUAAACCAGGACAAACUGUCAAAAUGAGUGAAUUUUUUGAAGACUUUUUAACUUGUAAGAUGUGUCUGGACACAUUUAAAGACCCCGUGACUCUGAGUUGUGACCACAGCUUUUGUUUGAGCUGUCUGCAGAAACACUGGGACCAAAACAGGACCGAAAACUGCCCCAUUUGUGGAAAGGACUCUACAAAAGAUCAGCUCAUUGUGAAUAGCACUCUUAAAGAAAUGGCUGAUUCAUUCGCUCAGAAGCAGAAGACCAAAGCACAAUAGAAGAACCCAGAUGCCCUUCCAUGGUUAAAGACGAAGACCAAGUAGGGCCUUUACCUUGACGACACAGGCAACCCCAGGACUGCCAGCGGAAUUGCAAUCAAUGGACACAAUGAGCAAUUCGCAAAAGCUGCCAUUUUUAAAGAAGUGUAAUACUAUGCCCUCCCUGUGCGUCAGAUGCCCUCCCUGUGCGUCAGAUGCCCUCCCUGUGCGUCAGAUGCCCUCCCUGUGCGUCAGAUGCCCUCCCUGUGCGUCAGAUGUGUCAGCCCUGAUAUAAUCUAUAAAUUUUGUUUUGCAGAGGCCAAAACAACAAACUCCAUAGUAACAGUUUAUCUUCCAUCUACAGGACCUGGGUUUGAUUAUGUUCAGAAAAGACAGAAAUGGAGCAGCUUCUAACAGAACUUUUGUCUUUUGGAUAACUCGCGAUCUUCGGAGAACAUCAGAAUAUUUCAUACGUUAAUAAUGUUGAGACAAGGAGCGGGUUACAAUGUGGAGUUGAUCUGCAUGUUUUUGGUGUGGGGAGCUCCUCCUAAUCACCUACAUUAUAUUUUCAUUUUAGAGAUGUAAGUAGUCUG